UUAAAAUGUAAGGCUUGUAGCCAAACAAAAUGUCUAAGUUCUCACAAAGACAGGUCAAAUCAAUGAAUGACUGAUGUAAAUCACGAGUGAGGGUUACCAGUUUCCUGAUAUCUCUUUAAUGAUCCUUCCGCAGGUUCACCUACGGAAA
rnacentral:misc_RNA from 1 species